rnacentral:rRNA from 1 species
CCUACGGGGGGCAGCAGUGGGGAAUAUUGGACAAUGGGGGCAACCCUGAUCCAGCCAUGCCGCGUGUGUGAAGAAGGCCCUCGGGUUGUAAAGCACUUUCAGUGAGGAAGAACGCCUGGUGGUUAAUACCCAUCAGGAAAGACAUCACUCACAGAAGAAGCACCGGCUAACUCCGUGCCAGCAGCCGCGGUAAUACGGAGGGUGCGAGCGUUAAUCGGAAUUACUGGGCGUAAAGCGCGCGUAGGUGGCUUGAUAAGCCGGUUGUGAAAGCCCCGGGCUCAACCUGGGAACGGCAUCCGGAACUAUCAAGCUAGAGUGCAGGAGAGGAAGGUAGAAUUCCCGGUGUAGCGGUGAAAUGCGUAGAGAUCGGGAGGAAUACCAGUGGCGAAGGCGGCCUUCUGGACUGACACUGACACUGAGGUGCGAAAGCGUGGGUAGCAAACAGGAUUAGAUACCCUAGUAGUC